UACGAAGGGGGCUAGCGUUGUUCGGAAUUACUGGGCGUAAAGCGCGUGUAGGCGGGUCUUUUAAGUCAGGGGUGAAAUGCCAAGGCUCAACCUUGGAACUGCCUUUGAUACUGGAGAUCUUGAGUCCGGGAGAGGUGAGUGGAAUUGCGAGUGUAGAGGUGAAAAUUCGUAGAUAUUCGCAAGAACACCAGUGGCGAAGGCGGCUCACUG
rnacentral:rRNA from 1 species